rnacentral:rRNA from 1 species
GAAAAUUAAACGGCCGCGGUAACCUAACCGUGCAAAGGUAGCAUAAUCAUUUGUCUAUUAAUUGUAGACCUGUAUGAAAGGCAAAAUGAGAGCCCAACUGUCUCCUAUAACAAAUCAAUUAAACUGAUCUCCUAGUACAAAAGCUAGAAUACUAACAUAAGACCAGAAGACCCUGUGAAGCUUUAACUAACCUAUUAAACCCAAUAAUAGCUACUUUCGGUUGGGGCGACCUUGGAACAAAAAAGAACUUCCAACAUAUGACUAAUCAUAAAAUAAGGAAAACAAACCACACCAGACCCAGUAUGACUGACAAUUGAAAUAAGUUACUCCAGGGAUAACAGCGCCAUCUUCUUUAAGAGCCCAUAUCAAAAAGAAGGUUUACGACCUCGAUGUUGGAUCAGGACAUCCCAGUAAUGCAGCCGUUACUAAAGGUUCGUUUGUUCAACGAUUAACAGUCCU